CUGGCAGGAGAUGAAUGAUGCGGGGUUCUGAGCUUCCCAGAACAAAACCUACAUUAAUUUUGAGCCAAUCAAAAUAGAACAGGAAACGAUUUACUAUGGGUGCCUCAACUACUGCAGCUGAAUCAUGGGAAAUCCAUUCCCCAGAAUGGAAUCCGGUCCUCAUGUGUUUGUCAUCUCUCCCAUGGAAACACGCCAUGCGCAAAGUCGGAAGCAAAAAGCAGGGCCAGAAAAAGCUUGGCUCCUCUGACUUUCACAACCUUUCCCGGACACAUAUGAAGAAAUCUGGAAUAAAGAUCUCCAGGAGAAACCUUGCUUAAACAUCUUAAUGACAACCUAUUCCCUAUGAAAUUCAAUGCCUCCACAAUCUGACUCCAGCCAAGUUUUCAAUAAUCUACUAUAAAUGUUUGACUGCUUGCCAAAUACUAUAGAUUACAGUAUGCAAACAUA